AAACGGUGUAAGAUAACAGUGCACGAGAAUACAACGGCAAGACGGCAAACAAUUAAUUAAAUUAUGACAAAUAAUUCAAAAAGUACAUUAAAAUGCGGAACUAAUUUGAAACAUCACCAUCAAUAUGGCGGGGUUGGAAAUUGUGCUGAAGUUGGAUUUUGUGACACAUCUACAAUAUAAAGAAGGCAAGCGCAUCGCUCGAGAUGUUUCAGAAAUUGUAUUCCCAGCC